CCCCCUCCCCCUACUGUCUGGUACUGGCACAUUUUAAAGCAUUUCCUGCACCCCCCAAGGUAACUCCAAUCUUGUCUAGGGAACGUUUGUCUGGCUGUAUAAGUACUGUGUUUGUUUUGGUGGUGUCUCCACACACACACACACACACACACACACACACACCCUCCCCCCCAACCACCCAUCCCCCCUCUGCUUCUGUUGAGAUGCCUAGGUGUGUGAACGGCUCACCUCUAUAUUAGUCCCCUCAAGCAUCACCUCAGACAUGGCUCUGUAGUGCCACUCGUGGGAUGCCACUGGAUUGACAGCCUCCAUUUUGAUGGCACGGAUCCGAUCCGAUGUGCCGCAUGGUGUGCCGCCUGAGGGAGAAAGGGGGGCAGUAGGCUGGCAAUGGAUCCGUGUGUCUCUGUUGCCAUCUGGUGUUUUUUUAUUGUAAUUGCAGUUCACCUCGGUGUUCUGCUUUUCCGAUCACCUUUAGAGGGUAAAAAGUGCCGCUAGAGUGGAGUGGUUGGCUUUAUGAUCAAAGUUCGUAUGUGCGGUGGCGUUUUUCUGUGUGUUGAUUUCUUUUUUUGCACCCUAGUUGUACUCUCAUUUUUUGAGUUUCGGAUUAUGUUUCAUUCUUUUAAUAUAUAUAUUUGUGUUUCCUAUGGGUGUUUAAAGUUUUAAAGAUCAUCUUCCAAGUGACCCGUGCAAAUCAAUCCAAAGUGAGCUAGGGUGGAACCGUACAACCAUUGAGUGUGAAUGUGAAUGUGUGUGUGUGUGUGUGUGUGU